GACGAACGCUGGCGGCGUGCCUAAUACAUGCAAGUCGAGCGCUGAAGUCUGGUAUUUGUACCAACUGGAUGAGCAGCGGACGGGUGAGUAACGCGUGGUGAAUCUGCCUUUGAGCGGGGGACAACAUUUGGAAACGAAUGCUAAUACCGCAUAAAAACUUUAAACACAAGUGUUACGUGUGAAAUAUGCAAUUGCAUCACGCAAAGAUGAUCCCGCGUUGUAUUAGCUAGUUGGUGAGGUAAGGGCUCACCAAGGCGUGGAUACAUAGCCGACCUGAGAGGGUGAGCGGCCUAGUUGGGAUUGGGACACGGCCCACACCCCUGCGAGAGGCAGCCGUCGCGAAUCUUCGCGGAUGGAAGCAAUUCUGACCGAGCGACGCCGGGCGAGUGCAGAAGGUUUUCGGGUCGUAAAACUCUUUUAGUAGUGAAGAUCGUUAAUGUGAGUGGAAAGCGCAUAUAAUGACGGUAACUACACAGUAAGCGACGGCUAACUCCGUG
rnacentral:rRNA from 1 species